rnacentral:rRNA from 1 species
UACGUAGGGAGCAAGCGUUGUCCGGAAUCAUUGGGCGUAAAGGGCGCGUAGGCGGCCUCAUAAGUCCGUUGUGAAAGUCAAAGGCUCAACCUUUGAAAGCCGAUGGAUACUGUGAGGCUAGAGUCCGGAAGAGGCGAGUGGAAUUCCUGGUGUAGCGGUGGAAUGCGCAGAUAUCAGGAGGAACACCAAUAGCGAAGGCAGCUCGCUGGGACGGUACUGACGCUAAGGCGCGAAAGCGUGGGGAGCGAACAGG